GUGCUGGCUUUGGCAGCACGUAUGCUAACAUUGGAAUGAUACAGAGAAGAUUAGCACCACCCACCCCAAGGAUGAGUACAAAUCCCUAAAGGGUUCCUUAUUUAA